rnacentral:rRNA from 1 species
AAAUUGAAGAGUUUGAUCAUGGCUCAGAUUGAACGCUGGCGGCAGGCCUAACACAUGCAAGUCGAACGGUAACAGGAAGCAGCUUGCUGCUUCGCUGACGAGUGGCGGACGGGUGAGUAAUGUCUGGGAAACUGCCUGAUGGAGGGGGAUAACUACUGGAAACGGUGGCUAAUACCGCAUAACGUCGCAAGACCAAAGAGGGGGACCUUCGGGCCUCUUGCCGUCAGAUGUGCCCAGAUGGGAUUAGCUUGUUGGUGAGGUAA